UUGACCUUACACACCCAGCUGUCAAUACAAGCUUUUGCUCCUUUGACAGUUUGAAGUCUCUUUAACUGGCACAGCAGAACCAGCUCCAGUCCUUUGGCAUCUGGAUACAUGACUAAGUUAAGUUAAGCUGUAGAAACCUGCAGUCCCUGUCUCUUAUCCACCUGUUUACAGUCUUCAGGUAUAAUGAAUGGAUGAAGUGUGCUGAGCUGCAGCAGGCAUGCAGGGGAACUGGAGGGAAGACGAUGACAGUAAGACUUCUUCUGCAGUAAAUGUCCACACAGAACAUGAAACCAGCCAGCUGGGCAAUAAGCUGGUACAUACAUCCAGCAAGGCCCUUAAUGUUAUUUGCCCAGUGAGGUACAUCAUGAAAGCUACAGCUGGGGGAGCCAGGACACCAGGGUCAGGGGGAGAUAGCAUCCUCCCCACAAUCGGAGAUUGAAGACGGAGAAGGUUAAAGAAGAAGAUUGGCUUUUUCCACAGGUAAUAUAAGACACUGACUAGGGCUAAGAUAGACGCUGUGGCUUCGUGGUGGGGUCCUCCACAAACCAGCAAGCUGAAGACACGGUAGAAGAGAGAAAGGAGUGAUGAAGAAAGCAGAGGGUUACCUGUGGUAAAGAUCCUGAUCCUCCAAAUGGCCAAAAACCAGGCAUCCACAGCUCUGGGGUUCUUCCAUGAAGCUGCAAAGAAACCUGACUUUCCCUUCAGAACAAAAUAACUUGGUCCAGUUUGUCUUUCCCCCUCAUAACCAGACUGUUAGAACCACAGCUGUGGAAAAUUGAG